CAGGCCUAACACAUGCAAGUCGGGCGGUAGCAGGAAGUGCUUGCACUUUGCUGACGAGCGGCGGACGGGUGCGUAACACGUAGGAAUCUGCCUGGUAGUGGGGGAUAGCCCGGAGAAAUCCGGAUUAAUACCGCAUACGCCCUAAGGGGGAAAGCAGGGGAUCGGUCCGCCGACCUUGCGCUAUCAGAUGAGCCUGCGUCGGAUUAGCUGGUUGGUGGGGUAAAGGCCUACCAAGGCGACGAUCCGUAGCUGGUCUGAGAGGAUGAUCAGCCACACUGGGACUGAGACACGGCCCAGACUCCUACGGGAGGCAGCAGUGGGGAAUAUUGCACAGUGGGCGAAAGCCUGAUGCAGCCAUGCCGCGUGUGUGAAGAAGGCCCUAGGGUUGUAAAGCACUUUCAGCGAGGAGGAAAGGUUAAAGGUUAAUACCCUCUGGCUGUGACGUUACUCGCAGAAGAAGCACCGGCUAACUCCGUGCCAGCAGCCGCGGUAAUACGGAGGGUGCGAGCGUUAAUCGGAAUUACUGGGCGUAAAGCGUGCGUAGGCGGCCUUUUAAGUUGGAUGUGAAAGCCCCGGGCUCAACCCGGGAACUGCAUCCAAAACUGGAAGGCUCGAGUGCGGGAGAGGAGUGUGGAAUUUCCUGUGUAGC
rnacentral:rRNA from 1 species